GCAAUGGCUAUGAUAAAGAGUAGUACAUUUAUUUUUGGUUCCUAGAGAGCUUGUGGUGGGUGCAAACAAGUAACCAAGUAAAUCGAAUGGACUUUUGAGCCUUCUGUCAAAGACGUACCCUCACGUUAUAGGGGUUCCAUGUAUAUCAUAUGCAUGGUUUCGAGUGACUCAAAUACUUGAGUAAUUAGGGUGGCAACGCGGACCAUUCGUCCCUAUU
rnacentral:ncRNA from 1 species